CUGGCUGAGAUGUGAGCAACGGCAG
rnacentral:piRNA from 1 species